rnacentral:tRNA from 1 species
GGCUGUAGCUCAGUGGUAGAGCGCUUGCCUAGCAUGCACAAGGCACUGGGUUCAAUCCUCAGCACCA